AACGAACGCUGGCGGCAGGCUUAACACAUGCAAGUCGAGCGCACCGCAAGGUGAGCGGCAGACGGGUGAGUAACGCGUGGGAAUCUACCGAGCCCUAAGGAAUAGCUCCGGGAAACUGGAAUUAAUACCUUAUACGCCCUUUGGGGGAAAGAUUUAUCGGGGUUUGAUGAGCCCGCGUUGGAUUAGCUAGUUGGUGGGGUAAAGGCCUACUAAGGCGACGAUCCAUAGCUGGUCUGAGAGGAUGAUCAGCCACAUUGGGACUGAGACACGGCCCAAACUCCUACGGGAGGCAGCAGUGGGGAAUAUUGGACAAUGGGCGCAAGCCUGAUCCAGCCAUGCCGCGUGAGUGAUGAAGGCCCUAGGGUUGUAAAGCUCUUUCACCGGUGAAGAUAAUGACGGUAACCGGAGAAGAAGCCCCGGCUAACUUCGUGCCAGCCGCCGCCGUAAGAC
rnacentral:rRNA from 1 species